rnacentral:lncRNA from 1 species
ACAAAGAAGUACCAGAUCUCUCAUAAUGAACUACCUAUAUGCAGAAAUAUUUUGUAGUUGAAGCAGAGCCAUCUCGUGCAAUCUCCAAAAGUUUAACAUUAGAAUUGAAGUAUAGCCUCCUCAUGCAAUCACCAAAAGUAAACUGCAGGUACAGAGUCUUAAGCAUUAAUCAGGCAUAAUUUUGUACAGAAAACAUGGAGACUUAGCUACUCAUUUACAUGAAUGAACUUACAAAUUGUAUAUGCACCAAAAGUAAACUGCAGGUACAAAGUCUUAAGCAUUAAUCAGGCAUAAUUUUGUACAGAAAACAUGGAGACUUAGCUACUCAUUUACAUGAAUGAACUUACAAAUUGUAUAUGCACCAAAAGUAAACUGCAGGUACAAAGUCUUAAGCAUUAAUCAGGCAUAAUUUUGUACAGAAAACAUGGAGACUUAGCUACUCAUUUACAUGAAUGAACUUACAAAUUGUAUAUGCACCAAAAGUAAACUGCAGGUACAAAGUCUUAAGCAUUAAUCAGGCAUAAUUUUGUACAGAAAACAUGGAGACUUAGCUACUCAUUUACAUGAAUGAACUUACAAAUUGUAUAUGCACCAAAAGUAAACUGCAGGUACAAAGUCUUAAGCAUUAAUCAGGCAUAAUUUUGUACAGAAAACAUGGAGACUUAGCUACUCAUUUACAUGAAUGAACUUACAAAUUGUAUAUGCACCAAAAGUAAACUGCAGGUACAAAGUCUUAAGCAUUAAUCAGGCAUAAUUUUGUACAGAAAACAUGGAGACUUAGCUACUCAUUUACAUGAAUGAACUUACAAAUUGUAUAUGCACCAAAAGUAAACUGCAGGUACAGAGUCUUAAGCAUUAAUCAGGCAUAAUUUUGUACAGAAAAUACUAAUUAUGGAGACUUAGCUACUCAUUUACAUGAAUGAACUUACAAAUUGUAUAUGCACCAAAAGUAAACUGCAGGUACAAAGUAUAUAUUAGCUUCCUAUGUCAUUGGCCUAUACAUGGAAGGCGUGUCAAUUAGCCCUUACAGGUUUUUCCUGUUAACAGGUCACAUUACUUAGUGGACCAGCUCUAAAUGAUAAUUUAAGAUGAAUGCGACAAUCACAAUACCUGUAUUCAUAGAAAAAUAGUGCAUAUAAAAGAUCAGAUAUGAGAA